UGCAUAAAGGGAGAAACACAGCCAAUGUUUUGUUUUCCAAGCAGCAGUGAAGGGCUCAGUAUGACAAGAUCCCCAAAUAACAAAUCAAUGAACCCCACUAGCCCCAGGCGAUCGGCCUUAGUUCCGCAGUGUUAUAACUUCCUGUUUUAUGAAACAACCAACACUGGCUACCUCAAGUGCUGUUGGGACAUAGAGAAAAUAAAAUCUUUUGUCAUCCGUUGGAUUGUAAAGCAGCGUGAGAGACCAGAUGAUUUGCCGAGGUGAAAUGCUGUAAAGCUCAUUCAUACUUUGACUCAGCGGUCAGGCUUUUGGUGAUACCAUAAAGAAAAAGGGGACGCAGCCAGUACUUCCUGCCAGACUCCUGCAAGGCUUCAGAUCCCUAGACCCAGAGAUUCCCAGUGUGAACUCGGUGGUGAGUGAACCGAACCACUGGUUUUGAACCUGAGAUGCGUGCAGGGUUCCUUGGUUUCUCCUUUCUCACGGACUGUGCGGUAGAACUAAAAUAAACAGCGAUACACUGACAUUUGGUCAGGAAAGGGCCCCAACGCAAUAAGGACCAACUUUGAGAACAAAGGGUAUCUUUUAUUUUUAUUUUGCGGCUUUAUUAUUUUAGUUUAUUAUUUUUCAUACAUUGUUCUUUCCAAAAAGCUGUUGUAUUACAUGUUGACCUUUCAGCUUGAAAUAACAAGUGGCCACAAACAUUCAAACCAUUGCUGUCUGUGUCAGCAUUGAUGUUCAAAAUACUGGCUUCUAAAAGCUUAGUGUCCCCUGUUACUGGUCCAGUUAUUACUAUUGACUAUUACGUACCUGUGCUCUGUUAUUACAUUGUAACCAGGGUUACAUAAUACUAAAAUGUAGGGCUGUAGUCAACCAAAGAAAAUCUUGGUCGAUUAAAAUCGUACAUAAUCUUCAACUAAUUGAU